UGUUCAUUUUUUAAUCCUUUCUUUCUUUUUAAUUAGACUUCAAUUCUUCACUAGCGAAAAACAUUAAGCGGGCGAGAAGAGAAGAGGAAAGAGCCGCGUGGCCGGUAUACCGUGGCGCAACCGUUACUUGAUACCGUACUGCCUUGGCGCUACAUACAUUCCACCAUUCCACCAUCCUACUCGUGGCGGCCGUGGGCUGAUGGGCUCGCGGCACGUGUGGGGCGGUACACGUGUGCCGAGAGAGGCAGCGGCAACUGCUGCUUCAAUUAAUUGAAGCGAUAUGGAAACGCAAACGCUGCGCCGCGUCGCGUCGCGUCGCGUUGCGUUGCGUUGCGUUGCGUUGCGUGAUACGUCGAGUUCCGAGUAUUAUCAGCGAGAAAUCGAACGGAUGGGCACGGCCGACAAGGAGUAUCCUCCAUUCAUCGCGUAUCAAAAGUGUCCCGUCAUUGCCGCGAGCUCGAUAAGAUCGAGAGAUUAACAUCUCGAAAUUCCCCGGAUUUCACGGACUCUCCAAAAGUGACCGCGGAAAGAAAAUUAAUUGGGUGGAGACUAAUGAUAAGAUCAGCCGCAUCGCACUCUCUCGUGCGAUAAUUUCUUUAAGACAUUCAAGAAUUGUCCGAUAUGGGCGAAUAACGCACGAAAUGGAGAGACACUCCAGACCUACAACUUGCGUUGGAUCGGCUUGUUUACUCGCUGGUACACAUCUCGACCGGCGCGCAGGGAAAAAAAUAGUUGCCAACGCCGAUCGCCGUGCCGACAACAGGGGAUUCCGAGUCCAUGAACUCCAACGUCUCUCCCGAGGAAAAAAUCGUAUUAGAACGAUAAAUGGGACAACGCACGCAUGCUAACCCGAUACGUUCUUGCUUCCGAUAUAUUCAUUUCAGUCCUUCUGCGGCGAUGUUUGUAACAAGCAAAUUUAAUACAAUUUAGUAUCAAUA